UAUGAUCAUAUCAUGUUGAAACAUUGGCUCCCAUAAGAUCAAAGAAGUUAAGCAAUGUCGAGCCUGGUCAGUAUCCUAGAUGGGUGACUGCUUGGGAAUAUCAGUUGCUGUAAU